GAUGAACGCUGGCGGCGUGCCUAAUACAUGCAAGUCGAGCGAACGGACGAGAAGCUUGCUUCUCUGAUGUUAGCGGCGGACGGGUGAGUAACACGUGGAUAACCUACCUAUAAGACUGGGAUAACUUCGGGAAACCGGAGCUAAUACCGGAUAAUAUUUUGAACCGCAUGGUUCAAAAGUGAAAGACGGUCUUGCUGUCACUUAUAGAUGGAUCCGCGCUGCAUUAGCUAGUUGGUAAGGUAACGGCUUACCAAGGCAACGAUGCAUAGCCGACCUGAGAGGGUGAUCGGCCACACUGGAACUGAGACACGGUCCAGACUCCUACGGGAGGCAGCAGUAGGGAAUCUUCCGCAAUGGGCGAAAGCCUGACGGAGCAACGCCGCGUGAGUGAUGAAGGUCUUCGGAUCGUAAAACUCUGUUAUUAGGGAAGAACAUAUGUGUAAGUAACUGUGCACAUCUUGACGGUACCUAAUCAGAAAGCCACGGCUAACUACGUGCCAGCAGCCGCGGUAAUACGUAGGUGGCAAGCGUUAUCCGGAAUUAUUGGGCGUAAAGCGCGCGUAGGCGGUUUUUUAAGUCUGAUGUGAAAGCCCACGGCUCAACCGUGGAGGGUCAUUGGAAACUGGAAAACUUGAGUGCAGAAGAGGAAAGUGGAAUUCCAUGUGUAGCGGUGAAAUGCGCAGAGAUAUGGAGGGACACCAGUGGCGAAGGCGACUUUCUGGUCUGUAACUGACGCUGAUGUGCGAAAGCGUGGGGAUCAAACAGGAUUAGAUACCCUGGUAGUCCACGCCGUAAACGAUGAGUGCUAAGUGUUAGGGGGUUUCCGCCCCUUAGUGCUGCAGCUAACGCAUUAAGCACUCCGCCUGGGGAGUACGACCGCAAGGUUGAAACUCAAAGGAAUUGACGGGGACCCGCACAAGCGGUGGAGCAUGUGGUUUAAUUCGAAGCAACGCGAAGAACCUUACCAAAUCUUGACAUCCUUUGACAACUCUAGAGAUAGAGCCUUCCCCUUCGGGGGACAAAGUGACAGGUGGUGCAUGGUUGUCGUCAGCUCGUGUCGUGAGAUGUUGGGUUAAGUCCCGCAACGAGCGCAACCCUUAAGCUUAGUUGCCAUCAUUAAGUUGGGCACUCUAAGUUGACUGCCGGUGACAAACCGGAGGAAGGUGGGGAUGACGUCAAAUCAUCAUGCCCCUUAUGAUUUGGGCUACACACGUGCUACAAUGGACAAUACAAAGGGCAGCGAAACCGCGAGGUCAAGCAAAUCCCAUAAAGUUGUUCUCAGUUCGGAUUGUAGUCUGCAACUCGACUACAUGAAGCUGGAAUCGCUAGUAAUCGUAGAUCAGCAUGCUACGGUGAAUACGUUCCCGGGUC
rnacentral:rRNA from 1 species